rnacentral:lncRNA from 1 species
UGGGAGGGAAAAAUGUUCAUGGAGGGGUGUGUGUGUGGGGGGGGGGUCCAAAUAUUUCUUUAACUGAUCAAAUAGGAGAUAGCAAAUUUUUUUAGCCUAACUGAUCCAAACAAGGGAAUAUGAGAAUUGAUUGAUAAAUUCUUAGAAUCGGCCACAUGAUACCUGUCAAUUUCUCAACCAAAGAUCAUUUCUCAAUCAGAAAACCAAAGCUUGUCUACUACUCCAUCCGUUUCAAAAUGCAAGUAGUUUUGAAUUUUCUGUACAGAUAGGUCCUACUAUGCACCUAAAUAUAGAGUUAUACCUAGAUAAAUAACAUCUAUAGCCUUGACCAGAGCUUGGAGACCCCUUGCAACUGUAGCAGCCACCGUGGGAGUUGGAGGUGUUGUCUAGGGUUUCACUACGACACUACCUGGAAGGCUUAUUAUAGGGAGAAGUUGUAGGGAGAAGUUGGGCCGAGUGGAACGAAUGAGGCUGUAGAGGCUUAUUAUAGGGAGAGGGGUUUGGCCCAGUGGAACGAAUGGGAGUGAAAAAUGUUCAUGGAGGGGUGUCUGUGGGGGGGGUCCAAAUAUUCUUUUAACUCAUCAAAUAGGAGAUAGCUAAUUUUUUUAGCCUAACUGAUCCAAACAAGGGAACAUGAGAAUUGAUUGAUAAAUUCUUGGAAUCGGCCACAUGAUACCCGUCAAUUUCUCAACCAAAGAUCAUUUCUCAAUCAGAAAACCAAAGCUUGUCUACUAAUCCAUCCGUUUUAAAAUGCAAGUAGUUUUGAAUUUUUUAUACAGAUAGGUCCUGCUAUGCACCUAAAUAUAGAGUUAUACCUAGAUAAAUAACAUCUAUAGCCUUGACCAGAGCUUGGAAACCCCUUGCAACUGUAGCAGCCACCAUGGGAGUUGGAGGUGGUUUCUAGGGUUUCACUACGACACUACCUGGAAGGCUUAUUAUAGGGAGAAGUUGUAGGGAGAAGUUGGGCCGAGUGGAACAAAUGAGGCUGUAGAGGCUUAUUAUAGGGAGAGGGGUCUGGCCCAGUGGAACGAAUGGGAGGGAAAAAUAUUCAUGGAGGGGGGGUGUGUGUGUGUGGGGGGGUCCAAAUAUUCCUUUAACUGAUAAAAUAGGAGAUAGCUAAUUUUUUUAGCCUAACUGAUCCAAACAAGGGAACAUGAGAAUUUAUUGAUAAAUUCUUGGAAUCGGCCACAUGAUACCCGUCAAUUUCUCAACCAAAGAUCAUUUCUCAAUCAGAAAACAAAAGAUUGUCUACUACUCCAUCUGUUUCAAAAUGCAAGUAGUUUUGAAUUUUCUAUACAGAUAGGUCCUGCUAUGCACCUAAAUAUAGAGUUAUACCUAGAUAAAUAACAUCUAUAGCCUUGACCGGAGCUUGGAGAUCCCUUGCAAUUGUAGCAGCCGCCAUGGGAGUUGGAGGUGUUGUCUAGGGUUUCACUACGACACUACCUGGAAGGCUUAUUAUAGGGAGAAGUUGUAGGAAAAAGUUGGGCCGAGUGGAAUGAAUGAGGCUGUAGAGGCUUAUUAUAGGGAGAGGGGUCUGGCCCAGUGGAACGAAUGGGAGGGAAAAAUGUUCAUGGAGGGGUGUGUGUGUGGGGGGGUCCAAAUAUUCCUUUAACUGAUCAAAUAGGAGAUAGCUAAUUUUUUUAGCCUAACUGAUCCAAACAAGGGAACAUGAGAAUUGAUUGAUAAAUUCUUGGAAUCGGCCACAUGAUACCCGUCAAUUUCUCAACCAAAGAUCAUUUCUCAAUCAGAAAACCAAAGCUUGUCUACUACUCCAUUCGUUUCAAAAUGCAAGUAGUUUUAAAUUUUCUAUAAAGAUAGGUCCUGCUAUGCACCGAAAUAUAGAGUUAUACCUAGAUAAAUAACAUCUAUAGCCUUAACCAGAGCUUGGAGACCCCUUGCAAGUGUAGCAGCCGCCAUGGGAGUUGGAGGUGUUGUCUAGGGUUUCACUACGACACUACCUGGAAGGCUUAUUAUAGGGAGAAGUUGUAGGGAGAAGUUGGACUUAGUGGAACGAAUGAGGCUGGAGAGGCUUAUUAUAGGGAGAGGGGUCUGGCCCAGUGGAACGAAUGGGAGGGGAAAAUGUUUAUGGAGGGGUGUGUGUGUGUGGGGGGGUCCAAAUAUUCCUUUAACUGAUCAAAUAGGAGAUAGCUAAUUUUUUUAGCCUAACUGAUCCAAACAAGGGAACAUGAGAAUUGAUUGAUAAAUUCUUGGAAUCGGCCACAUGAUACCCGUCAAUUUCUCAACCAAAGAUCAUUUCUCAAUCAGAAAACCAAAGCUUGUCUACUACUCCAUCCGUUUCAAAAUGCAAGUAGUUUUGAAUUUUCUAUACAAAUAGGUCCUGCUAUGCACCUAAAUAUAGAGUUAUACCUAGAUUAAUAACAUCUAUAGCCUUGACCAGAGCUUGGAGACCCCUUGCAACUGUAGCAGCCGCCAUGGGAGUUGGAGGUGUUGUCUAGGGUUUCACUACGACACUACCUGGAAGGCUUAUUAUAGGGAGAAGUUGUAGGGAGAAGUUGGGCCGAGUGGAACGAAUGAGGCUGUAGAGGCUUAUUAUAGGGAGAGGGGUCUGGCCCAAUGGAACGAAUGGGAGGGAAAAAUGUUCAUGGAGGGGUGUGUGUGUGGGGGGGUCCAAAUAUUUCUUUAACUGAUCAAAUAGGAGAUAGCUAAUUUUUUUAGCCUAACUGAUCCAAACAAGGGAACAUGAGAAUUGAUUGAUAAAUUCUUGGAAUCGGCCACAUGAUACCCGUCAAUUUCUCAACCAAAGAUCAUUUCUCAAUCAGAAAACCAAAGCUUGUCUACUACUCCAUCCGUUUCAAAAUGCAAGUAGUUUUGAAUUUUCUAUACAGAUAGGUCCUGCUAUGCACCUAAAUAUAGAGUUGUACCUAGAUAAAUAACAUCUAUACCCUUGACUAGAGCUUGGAGACCCCUUGCAACUGUAGCAUCCGCCAUGGGAGUUGGAGGUGUUGUCUAGGGUUUCACUACGACACUACCUAGAAGGUUUAUUAUAGGGAGAAGUUGUAGGGAGAAGUUGGGCCGAGUGGAACGAAUGAGGCUGUAGAGGCUUAUUAUAGGGAGAGGGGUCUGGCCCAGUGGAACGAAUGGGAGGGAAAAAUAUUCAUGGAGGGGUGUGUGUGUGUGUGGGGGGGGGGGGGGUCCAAAUAUUCUUUAACUGAUAAAAUUGGAGAUAGCUAAUUUUUUUGGCCUAACUGAUCCAAACAAGGGAACAUGAGAAUUGAUUGAUAAAUUCUUGGAAUCGGCCACAUGAUACCCGUCAAUUUCUCAACCAAAGAUCAUUUCUCAAUCAGAAAACAAAAGAUUGUCUACUACUCCAUCCGUUUCAAAAUGCAAGUAGUUUUGAAUUUUCUAUACAGAUAGGUCCUGCUAUGCACCUAAAUAUAGAGUUAUACCUAGAUAAAUAACAUCUAUAGCCUUGACCGGAGCUUGGAGAUCCCUUGCAACUGUAGCAGCCGCCAUGGGAGUUGGAGGUGUUGUCUAGGGUUUCACUACGACACUACCUGGAAGGCUUAUUAUAGGGAGAAGUUGUAGGGAGAAGUUGGGCCGAGUGGAAGGAAUGAGGCUGUAGAGGCUUAUUAUAGGGAGAGGGGUUUGGCCCAGUGGAACGAAUGGGAGGGAAAAAUGUUCAUGGAGGGGUGUGUGGGGGGGGGUCCAAAUAUUUCUUUAACUGAUCAAAUAGGAGAUAGCUAAUUUUUUUAGCCUAACUGAUCCAAACAAGGGAACAUGAGAAUUGAUUGAUAAAUUCUUGGAAUCGGCCACAUGAUACCCGUCAAUUUCUCAACCAAAGAUCAUUUCUCAAUAAGAAAACCAAAGCUUGUCUACUACUCUAUCCGUUUCAAAAUGCAAGUAGUUUUGAAUUUUCUAUACAGAUAGGUCCUGCUAUGCACCUAAAUAUAGAGUUAUACCUAGAUAAAUAACAUCUAUAGCCUUGACCGGAGCUUGGAGAUCCCUUGCAACUGUAGCAGCCGCCAUGGGAGUUGGAGGUGUUGUCUAGGGUUUCACUACGACACUACCUGGAAGGCUUAUUAUAGGGAGAAGUUGUAGGGAGAAGUUGGGCCGAGUGGAAGGAAUGAGGCUGUAGAGGCUUAUUAUAGGGAGAGGGGUUUGGCCCAGUGGAACGAAUGGGAGGGAAAAAUGUUCAUGGAGGGGUGUGUGGGGGGGGGGUCCAAAUAUUUCUUUAACUGAUCAAAUAGGAGAUAGCUAAUUUUUUUAGCCUAACUGAUCCAAACAAGGGAACAUGAGAAUUGAUUGAUAAAUUCUUGGAAUCGGCCACAUGAUACCCGUCAAUUUCUCAACCAAAGAUCAUUUCUCAAUAAGAAAACCAAAGCUUGUCUACUACUCUAUCCGUUUCAAAAUGCAAGUAGUUUUGAAUUUUCUAUACAGAUAGGUCCUGCUAUGCACCUAAAUAUAGAGUUAUACCUAGAUAAAUAACAUCUAUAGCCUUGACCAGAGCUUGGAGACCCCUUGCAACUGUAGCAGCCGCCAUGGGAGUUGGAGGUGUUGUCUAGGGUUUCACUACGACACUACCUGGAAGGCUUAUUAUAGGGAGAAGUUGUAGGGAGAAGUUGGGCCGAGUGGAAGGAAUGAUGCUGUAGAGGCUUAUUAUAGGGAUAGGGGUCUGGCCCAGUGGAACGAAUGGGAGGGAAAAAUGUUCAUGGAGGGGUGUGUGGGGGGGGGUCCAAAUAUUUUUCUUUAACUGAUCAAAUAGGAGAUAGCUAAUUUUUUUAGCCUAACUGAUCCAAACAAGGGAACAUGAGAAUUGAUUGAUAAAUUCUUGGAAUCGGCCACAUGAUACCCGUCAAUUUCUCAACCAAAGAUCAUUUCUCAAUAAGAAAACCAAAGCUUGUCUACUACUCUAUCCGUUUCAAAAUGCAAGUAGUUUUAAAUUUUCUAUAUAGAUAGGUCCUCCUAUGCACCUAAAUAUAGAGUUAUACCUAGAUAAUUAACAUCUAUAGCCUUAACCAGAGCUUGGAGACCCCUUGCAACUGUAGCAGCCGCCAUGAAAGUUGGAGGUGUUGUCUAGGGUUUCACUACGACACUACCUGGAAGGCUUAUUAUAGGGAGAAGUUGUAGGGAGAAGUUGGGCCGAGUGGAAGGAAUGAGGCUGUAGAGGCUUAUUAUAGGGAGAGGGGUUUGGCCCAGUGGAACGAAUGGGAGGGAAAAAUGUUCAUGGAGGGGUGUGUGGGGGGGGGUCCAAAUAUUUCUUUAACUGAUCAAAUAGGAGAUAGCUAAUUUUUUUAGCCUAACUGAUCCAAACAAGGGAACAUGAGAAUUGAUUGAUAAAUUCUUGGAAUCGGCCACAUGAUACCCGUCAAUUUCUCAACCAAAGAUCAUUUCUCAAUAAGAAAACCAAAGCUUGUCUACUACUCUAUCCGUUUCAAAAUGCAAGUAGUUUUGAAUUUUCUAUACAGAUAGGUCCUGCUAUGCACCUAAAUAUAGAGUUAUACCUAGAUAAAUAACAUCUAUAGCCUUGACCGGAGCUUGGAGAUCCCUUGCAACUGUAGCAGCCGCCAUGGGAGUUGGAGGUGUUGUCUAGGGUUUCACUACGACACUACCUGGAAGGCUUAUUAUAGGGAGAAGUUGUAGGGAGAAGUUGGGCCGAGUGGAAGGAAUGAGGCUGUAGAGGCUUAUUAUAGGGAGAGGGGUUUGGCCCAGUGGAACGAAUGGGAGGGAAAAAUGUUCAUGGAGGGGUGUGUGGGGGGGGGGGGGUCCAAAUAUUUCUUUAACUGAUCAAAUAGGAGAUAGCUAAUUUUUUAGCCUAACUGAUCCAAACAAGGGAACAUGAGAAUUGAUUGAUAAAUUCUUGGAAUCGGCCACAUGAUACCCGUCAAUUUCUCAACCAAAGAUCAUUUCUCAAUAAGAAAACCAAAGCUUGUCUACUACUCUAUCCGUUUCAAAAUGCAAGUAGUUUUGAAUUUUCUAUACAGAUAGGUCCUGCUAUGCACCUAAAUAUAGAGUUAUACCUAGAUAAAUAACAUCUAUAGCCUUGACCAGAGCUUGGAGACCCCUUGCAACUGUAGCAGCCGCCAUGGGAGUUGGAGGUGUUGUCUAGGGUUUCACUACGACACUACCUGGAAGGCUUAUUAUAGGGAGAAGUUGUAGGGAGAAGUUGGGCCGAGUGGAAGGAAUGAGGCUGUAGAGGCUUAUUAUAGGGAUAGGGGUCUGGCCCAGUGGAACGAAUGGGAGGGAAAAAUGUUCAUGGAGGGGUGUGUGGGGGGGGGGUCCAAAUAUUUUCUUUAACUGAUCAAAUAGGAGAUAGCUAAUUUUUUUAGCCUAACUGAUCCAAACAAGGGAACAUGAGAAUUGAUUGAUAAAUUCUUGGAAUCGGCCACAUGAUACCCGUCAAUUUCUCAACCAAAGAUCAUUUCUCAAUAAGAAAACCAAAGCUUGUCUACUACUCUAUCCGUUUCAAAAUGCAAGUAGUUUUAAAUUUUCUAUAUAGAUAGGUCCUCCUAUGCACCUAAAUAUAGAGUUAUACCUAGAUAAUUAACAUCUAUAGCCUUAACCAGAGCUUGGAGACCCCUUGCAACUGUAGCAGCCGCCAUGGAAGUUGGAGGUGUUGUCUAGGGUUUCACUACGACACUACCUGGAAGGCUUAUUAUAGGGAGAAGUUGUAGGGAGAAGUUGGGCCGAUUGGAACGAAUGAGGCUGUAGAGGCUUAUUAUAGGGAGAGGGGUCUAGCCCAGUGGAACGAAUGGGAGGGGAAAAUGUUUAUGGAGGGGUGUGUGUGUGGGGGGGGGGGGUCGAAAUAUUCCUUUAACUGAUCAAAUAGGAGAUAGCUAAUUUUUUUAGCCUAACUAAUCCAAACAAGGGAACAUGAGAAUUGAUUGAUAAAUUCUUGGAAUCGUCCACAUGAUACCCGUCAAUUUCUCAACCAAAGAUCAUUUCUCAAUCAGAAAACCAAAGCUUGUCUACUACUCCAUUCGUUUGAAAAUGCAAGUACUUUUGAAUUUUCUAUACAGAUAGGUCCUGCUAUGCACCUAAAUAUAGAGUUAUACCUAGAUUAAUAACAUCUAUAGCCUUGACCAGAGCUUGGAGACCCCUUGCAACUGUAGCAGCCGCCAUGGGAAUUGGAGGUGUUGUCUAGGGUUUCACUACGACACUACCUGGAAGGCUUAUUAUAGGGAGAAGUUGUAGGGAGAAGUUGGGCCGAGUGGAACGAAUGAGGCUGUAGAGGCUUAUUAUAGGGAGAGGGGUCUGGCCCAAUGGAACGAAUGGGAGGGAAAAAUGUUCAUGGAGGGGUGUGUGGGGGGGUCCAAAUAUUUCUUUAACUGAUCAAAUAGGAGAUAGCAAAUUUUUUUAGCCAAACUGAUCCAAAUAAGGGAACAUGAGAAUUGAUUGAUAAAUUCUUGGAAUCGGCCACAUGAUACCCGUCAAUUUUUCAACCAAAGAUCAUUUCUCAAUCAGAAAACCAAAGGUUGUCUACUACUCCAUCCGUUUCAAAAUGCAAGUAGUUUUGAAUUUUCUAUACAGAUAGGUGCUGCUAUUCACCUAAAUAUAGAGUUGUACCUAGAUAAAUAACAUCUAUAGCCUUGACCAGAGCUUGGAGACCCCUUGCAACUGUAGCAUCCGACAUGGGAGUUGGAGGUGUUGUCUAGGGUUUCACUACGACACUACCUCGAAGGUUUAUUAUAGGGAGAAGUUGUAGGGAGAAGUUGGGCCGAGUGGAACGAAUGAGGCUGUAGAGGCUUAUUAUAGGGAGAGGGGUCUGGCCCAGUGGAACGAAUGGGAGGGAAAAAUAUUCAUGGAGGGGUGUGUGUGUGUGGGGGGGGGGGUCCAAAUAUUCCUUUAACUGAUAAAAUUGGAGAUAGCUAAUUUUUUUGGCCUAACUGAUCCAAACAAGGGAACAUGAGAAUUGAUUGAUAAAUUCUUGGAAUCGGCCACAUGAUACCCGUCAAUUUCUCAACCAAAGAUCAUUUCUCAAUCAGAAAACAAAAGAUUGUCUACUACUCCAUCCGUUUCAAAAUGCAAGUAGUUUUGAAUUUUCUAUACAGAUAGGUCCUGCUAUGCACCUAAAUAUAGAGUUAUACCUAGAUAAAUAACAUCUAUAGCCUUGACCGGAGCUUGGAGAUCCCUUGCAACUGUAGCAGCCGCCAUGGGAGUUGGAGGUGUUGUCUAGGGUUUCACUACGACACUACCUGGAAGGCUUAUUAUAGGGAGAAAUUGUAGGGAGAAGUUGGGCCGAGUGGAAGGAAUGAGGCUGUAGAGGCUUAUUAUAGGGAGAGGGGUCUGGCCCAGUGGAACGAAUGGGAGGGAAAAAUGUUCACGGAGGGGUGUGUGUGGGGGGGGUCCAAAUAUUUCUUUAACUGAUCAAAUAGGAGAUAGCUAAUUUUUUUAGCCUAACUGAUCCAAACAAGGGAACAUGAGAAUUGAUUGAUAAAUUCUUGGAAUCGGCCACAUGAUACCCGUCAAUUUCUCAACCAAAGAUCAUUUCUCAAUAAGAAAACCAAAGCUUGUCUACUACUCUAUCCGUUUCAAAAUGCAAGUAGUUUUGAAUUUUCUAUACAGAUAGGUCCUCCUAUGCACCUAAAUAUAGAGUUAUACCUAGAUAAUUAACAUCUAUAGCCUUAACCAGAGCUUGGAGACCCCUUGCAACUGUAGCAGCCGCUAUGGAAGUUGGAGGUGUUUUCUAGGGUUUCACUACGACACUACCUGGAAGGCUUAUUAUAGGGAGAAGUUGUAGGGAGAAGUUGGGCCGAUUGGAACGAAUGAGGCUGUAGAGGCUUAUUAUAGGGAGAGGGGUCUGGCCCAGUGGAACGAAUGGGAGGGGAAAAUGUUUAUGGAGGGGUGUGUGUGUGUGGGGGGGGGUCCAAAUAUUCCUUUAACUGAUCAAAUAGGAGAUAGCUAAUUUUUUUAGCCUAACUAAUCCAAACAAGGGAACAUGAGAAUUGAUUGAUAAAUUCUUGGAAUCGGCCACAUGAUACCCGUCAAUUUCUCAACCAAAGAUCAUUUCUCAAUCAGAAAACCAAAGCUUGUCUACUACUCCAUCCGUUUCAAAAUGCAAGUAGUUUUGAAUUUUCUAUACAGAUAGGUCCUGCUAUGCACCUAAAUAUAGAGUUAUACCUAGAUUAAUAACAUCUAUAGCCUUGACCAGAGCUUGGAGACCCCUUGCAACUGUAGCAGCCGCCAUGGGAGUUGGAGGUGUUGUCUACGGUUUCACUACGACACUACCUGGAAGGCUUAUUAUAGGGAGAAGUUGUAGGGAGAAGUUGGGCCGAGUGGAACGAAUGAGGUUGUAGAGGCUUAUUAUAGGGAGAGGGGUCUGGCCCAGUGGAACGAAUGGGAGGGAAAAAUGUUCAUGGAGGGGUGUGUGGGGGGGGUCCAAAUAUUUCUUUAACUGAUCAAAUAGGAGAUAGCUAAUUUUUUUGGCUAACUGAUCCAAACAAGGGAACAUGAGAUUUGAUUGAUAAAUUCUUGGAAUCGGCCACAUGAUACCCGUCAAUUUCUCAACCAAAGAUUAUUUCUCAAUCAGAAAACAAAAGAUUGUCUACUACUCCAUCCGUUUCAAAAUGCAAGUAGUUUUGAAUUUUCUAUACAGAUAGGUCCUGCUAUGCACCUAAAUAUAGAGUUAUACCUAGAUAAAUAACAUCUAUAGCCUUGACCGGAGCUUGGAGAUCCCUUGCAACUGUAGCAGCCGCCAUGGGAGUUGGAGGUGUUGUCUAGGGUUUCACUACGACACUACCUGGAAGGCUUAUUAUAGGGAGAAGUUGUAGGGAGAAGUUGGGCCGAGUGGAACGAAUGAGGCUGUAGAGGCUUAUUAUAGGGAGAGGGGUCUGGCCCAGUGGAACGAAUGGGAGGGAAAAAUGUUCAUGGAGGGGUGUGUGGGGGGGGUCCAAAUAUUUCUUUAACUGAUCAAAUAGGAGAUAGCUAAUUUUUUUAGCCUAACUGAUCCAAACAAGGGAACAUGAGAAUUGAUUGAUAAAUUCUUGGAAUCGGCCACAUGAUACUCGUCAAUUUCUCAACCAAAGAUCAUUUCUCAAUCAGAAAACCAAAGCUUGUCUACUACUCCAUCCGUUUCAAAAUGCAAGUAGUUUUGAAUUUUCUAUACAGAUAGGUCCUGCUAUGCACCUAAAUAUAGAGUUAUACCUAGAUAAAUAACAUCUAUAGCCUUAACCAGAGCUUGGAGACCCCUUGCAACUGUAGCAGCCGCCAUGGGAGUUGGAGGUGUUGUCUAGGGUUUCACUACGAUACUACCUGGAAGGCUUAUUAUUGGGAGAAGUUGUAGGGAGAAGUUGGGCCGAGUGGAACGAAUGAGGCUGGAGAGGCUUAUUAUAGGGAGAGGGGUCUGGCCCAGUGGAACGAAUGGGAGGGGAAAAUGUUUAUGGAGGGGUGUGUGUGUGGGGGGGGGGUCCAAAUAUUCGUUUAACUGAUCAAAUAGGAGAUAGCUAAUUUUUUUAGCCUAACUGAUCCAAACAAGGGAAAAUGAGAAUUGAUUGAUAAAUUCUUGGAAUUGGUCACAUGAUACCCGUCAAUUUCUCUAACCAAAGAUCAUUUCUCAAUCAGAAAACCAAAGCUUGUCUACUACUCCAUCCGUUUCAAAAUGCAAGUAGUUUUGAAUUUUCUAUACAGAUAGGUCCUGCUAUGCACCUAAAUAUAGAGUUAUACCUAGAUAAAUAACAUCUAUAGCCUUGACCAGAGCUUGGAGACCCCUUGAAACUGUAGCAGCCGCCAUGGGAGUUGGAGGUGUUGUCUAGGGUUUCACUACGACACUACCUGAAAGGCUUAUUAUAGGGAGAAGUUGUAGGGAGAAGUUGGGCCGAGUGGAACGAAUGAGGCUGUAGAGGCUUAUUAUAGGGACAGGGGUCUGGCCCAGUGGAACGAAUGGGAGGGAAAAAUGUUCAUGGAGGGGUGUGUGGGGGGGGUCCAAAUAUUUCUUUAACUGAUCAAAUAGGAGAUAGCUAAUUUUUUUAGCCUAACUGAUCCAAACAAGGGAACAUGAGAAUUGAUUGAUAAAUUCUUGGAAUCGGCCACAUGAUACCCGUCAAUUUCUCAACCAAAGAUCAUUUCUCAAUCAGAAAACCAAAGCUUGUCUACUACUCCAUCCGUUUCAAAAUGCAAGUAGUUUUGAAUUUUCUAUACAGAUAGGUCCUGCCUAUGCACCUAAAUAUAGAGUUAUACCUAGAUAAAUAACAUCUAUAGCCUUAACCAGCAGCUUGGAGACCCCUUGCAACUGUAGCAGCCGCCAUGGGAGUUGGAUGUGUUGUCUAGGGUUUCACUACGACACUACCUGGAAGGCUUAUUAUAGGGAGAAGUUGUAGGGAGAAGGUUGGCCGAUUGGAACGAAUGAGGCUGUAGAGGCUUAUUAUAGGGAGAGGGGUCUGGCCCAGUGGAACGAAUGGGAGGGAAAAAUAGUUCAUGGAGGGGUGUGUGUGUGGGGGGGGGGGUCCAAAUAUUCCUUUAACUGAUAAAAUAGGAGAUAGCUAAUUUUUUUAGCCUAACUGAUCCAAACAAGGCGAACAUGAGAAUUGAUUGAUAAAUUCUUGGAAUCGGCCACAUGAUACCCGUCAAUUUCUCAACCAAAGAUCAUUUCUCAAUCAGAAAACCAAAGAUUGUCUACUACUCCAUCCGUUUCAAAAUGCAAGUAGUUUUAAAUUUUCUAUACAGAUAGGUCCUGCUAUGCACCUAAAUAUAGAGUUAUACCUAGAUAAAUAACAUCUAUAGCCUUGACCAGAGCUUGGAGAUCCCUUGCAACUGUAGCAGCCGCCAUGGGAGUUGGAGGUGUUGUCUAGGGUUUCACUACGACACUACCUGGAAGGCUUAUUAUAGGGAGAAGUUGUAGGGAGAAGGUUGGGCCAAGUGGAACGAAUGAGGCUGUAGAGGCUUAUUAUAGGGAGAGGGGUCUGGCCCAGUGGAACGAAUGGGAGGGAAAAAUGUUCAUGGAGGGGUGUGUGUGGGGGGGGGUCCAAAUAUUCCUUUAACUGAUCAAAUAGGAGAUAGCUAAUUUUUUAGCCUAACUGAUCCAAACAAGGGAACAUGAGAAUUGAUUGAUAAAUUCUUGGAAUCGGCCACAUGAUACCCGUCAAUUUCUCAACCAAAGAUCAUUUCUCAAUCAGAAAACCAAAGCUUGUCUACUACUCCAUCCGUUUCAAAAUGCAAGUAGUUUUGAAUUUUCUAUACAGAUAGGUCCUGCUAUGCACCUAAAUAUAGAGUUAUACCUAGAUAAAUAACAUCUAUAGCCUUGACCAGAGCUUGGAGACCCCUUGCAACUGUAGCAGCCGCCAUGGGAGUUGGAGGUGUUGUCUAGGGUUUCACUACGACACUACCUGGAAGGCUUAUUAUAGGGAGAAGUUGUAGGGAGAAGUUGGGCUGAGUGGAACGAAUGAGGCUGUAGAGGCUUAUUAUAGGGAGAGGGGUCUGGCCCAGUGGAACGAAUGGGAGGGCAAAAAUGUUCAUGGAGGGUGUGUGUUGGGGGGGGUUCCAAAUAUUCCUUUAACUGAUCAAAUAGGAGAUAGCUAAUUUUUUUAGCCUAACUGAUCCAAACAAGGGAACAUGAGAAUUGAUUGAUAAAUUCUUGGAAUCGGCCACAUGAUACCCGUCAAUUUCUCAACCAAAGAUCAUUUCUCAAUCAGAAAACCAAAGGUUGUCUACUACUCCAUCCGUUUCAAAAUGCAAGUAGUUUUGAAUUUUCUAUACAGAUAGGUCCUGCUAUGCACCUAAAUAUAGAGUUAUACCUAGAUAAAUAACAUCUAUAGCCUUGACCAGAGCUUGGAGACCCCUUGCAACUGUAGCAGCCGCCAUGGGAGUUGGAGGUGUUGUCUAGGGUUUCACUACGACACUACCUGGAAGGCUUAUUAUAGGGAGAAGUUGUAGGGAGAAGUUGGGCUGAGUGGAACGAAUGAGGCUGUAGAGGCUUAUUAUAGGGAGAGGGGUCUGGCCCAGUGGAACGAAUGGGAGGCAAAAAUGUUCAUGGAGGGGUGUGUGUGGGGGGGGGGUCCAAAUAUUCCUUUAACUGAUCAAAUAGGAGAUAGCUAAUUUUUUAGCCUAACUGAUCCAAACAAGGGAACAUGAGCAUUGAUUGAUAAAUUCUUGGAAUCGGCCACAUGAUACCCGUCAACCAAAGAUCAUUUCUCAAUCAGAAAACCAAAGCUUGUCUACUACUCUAUCCGUUUCAAAAUGCAAGUAGUUUUGAAUUUUCUAUACAGAUAGGUCCUGCUAUGCACCUAAAUAUAGAGGUAUACCUAGAUAAAUAACAUCUAUAGCCUUAACCAGAGCUUGGAGACCCCUUGCAACUGUAGCAGCCGCCAUGGGAGUUGGAUGUGUUGUCUAGGGUUUCACUACGACACUACCUGGAAGGCUUAUUAUAGAGAGAUGUUGUAGGGAGAAGGUUGGCCAAUUGGACCGAAUGAGGCUGUAGAGGCUUAUUAUAGGGAGAGGGGUCUGGCCCAGUGGAACGAAUGGGAGGGAAAAAUGUUCAUGGAGGGGUGUGUGUGGGGGGGGGGGGGUCCAAAUAUUCCUUUAACUGAUCAAAUAGGAGAUAGCUAAUUUUUUUAGCCUAACUAAUCCAAACAAGGGAACAUGAGAAUUGAUUGAUAAAUUCUUGGAAUCGGCCACAUGAUACCCGUCAAUUUCUCAACCAAAGAUCAUUUCUCAAUCAGAAAACCAAAGCUUGUCUACUACUCCAUCCGUUUCAAAAUGCAAGUAGUUUUGAAUUUUCUAUACAGAUAGGUCCUGCUAUGCACCUAAAUAUAGAGUUAUACCUAGAUAAAUAACAUCUAUAGCCUUGACCAGAGCUUGGAGACCCCUUGCAACUGUAGCAGCCGCCAUGGGAGUUGGAGGUGUUGUCUAGGGUUUCACUACGACACUACCUGGAAGGCUUAUUAUAGGGAGAAGUUGUAGGGAGAAGUUGGGCCGAGUGGAACGAAUGAGGCUUUAGAGGCUUAUUAUAGGGAGAGGGGUCUGGCCCAGUGGAACGAAUGGGAGGCAAAAAUGUUCAUGGAGGGGUGUGUGGGGGGGGGGUCCAAAUAUUCCUUUAACUGAUCAAAUAGGAGAUAGCUAAUUUUUUAGCCUAACUGAUCCAAACAAGGGAACAUGAGAAUUGAUUGAUAAAUUCUUGGAAUCGGCCACAUGAUACCCGUCAAUUUCUCAACCAAAGAUCAUUUCUCAAUCAGAAAACCAAAGCUUGUCUACUACUCUAUCCGUUUCAAAAUGCAAGUAGUUUUGAAUUUUCUAUACAGAUAGGUCCUGCUAUGCACCUAAAUAUAGAGGUAUACCUAGAUAAAUAACAUCUAUAGCCUUAACCAGAGCUUGGAGACCCCUUGCAACUGUAGCAGCCGCCAUGGGAGUUGGAUGUGUUGUCUAGGGUUUCACUACGACACUACCUGGAAGGCUUAUUAUAGAGAGAUGUUGUAGGGAGAAGGUUGGCCAAUUGGACCGAAUGAGGCUGUAGAGGCUUAUUAUAGGGAGAGGGGUCUGGCCCAGUGGAACGAAUGGGAGGGAAAAAUGUUCAUGGAGGGGUGUGUGUGGGGGGGGGUCCAAAUAUUCCUUUAACUGAUCAAAUAGGAGAUAGCUAAUUUUUUUAGCCUAACUAAUCCAAACAAGGGAACAUGAGAAUUGAUUGAUAAAUUCUUGGAAUCAGCCACAUGAUACCCGUCAAUUUCUCAACCAAAGAUCAUUUCUCAAUCAGAAAACCAAAGCUUGUCUACUAAUCCAUCCGUUUCAAAAUGCAAGUAGUUUUGAAUUUUCUAUACAGAUAGGUCCUGCUAUGCACCUAAAUAUAGAGUUAUACCUAGAUAAAUAACAUCUAUAGCCUUGACCAGAGCUUGGAGACCCCUUGCAACUGUAGCAGCCGCCAUGGGAGUUGGAGGUGUUGUCUAGGGUUUCACUACGACACUACCUGGAAGGCUUAUUAUAGGGAGAAGUUGUAGGGAGAAGUUGGGCCGAGUGGAACGAAUGAGGCUUUAGAGGCUUAUUAUAGGGAGAGGGGUCUGGCCCAGUGGAACGAAUGGGAGGCAAAAAUGUUCAUGGAGGGGUGUGGGGGGGGGGGGUCCAAAUAUUCCUUUAACUGAUCAAAUAGGAGAUAGCUAAUUUUUUAGCCUAACUGAUCCAAACAAGGGAACAUGAGAAUUGAUUGAUAAAUUCUUGGAAUCGGCCACAUGAUACCCGUCAAUUUCUCAACCAAAGAUCAUUUCUCAAUCAGAAAACCAAAGCUUGUCUACUACUCCAUCCGUUUCAAAAUGCAUGUAGUUUUGAAUUUUCUAUACAGAUAGGUCCUGCUAUGCACCUAAAUAUAGAGUUAUACCUAGAUAAAUAACAUCUAUAGCCUUAACCAGAGCUUGGAGACCCCUUGCAACUGUAGCAGCCGCCAUGGGAGUUGGAUGUGUUGUCUAGGGUUUCACUACGACACUACCUGGAAGGCUUAUUAUAGAGAGAUGUUGUAGGGAGAAGGUUGGCCAAUUGGAACGAAUGAGGCUGUAGAGGCUUAUUAUAGGGAGAGGGGUCUGGCCCAGUGGAACGAAUGGGAGGGAAAAAUGUUCAUGGAGGGGUGUGUGUGGGGGGGGUCCAAAUAUUCCUUUAACUGAUCAAAUAGGAGAUAGCUAAUUUUUUUAGCCUAACUGAUCCAAACAAGGGAACAUGAGAAUUGAUUGAUAAAUUCUUGGAAUCGGCCACAUGAUACCCGUCAAUUUCUCAACCAAAGAUCAUUUCUCAAUCAGAAAACCAAAGCUUGUCUACUACUCCAUCCGUUUCAAAAUGCAAGUAGUUUUGAAUUUUCUAUACAGAUAGGUCCUGCUAUGCACCUAAAUAUAGAGUUAUACCUAGAUAAAUAACAUCUAUAGCCUUGACCAGAGCUUGGAGACCCCUUGCAACUGUAGCAGCCGCCAUGGGAGUUGGAGGUGUUGUCUAGGGUUUCACUACGACACUACCUGGAAGGCUUAUUAUAGGGAGAAGUUGUAGGGAGAAGUUGGGCCGAGUGGAACGAAUGAGGCUUUAGAGGCUUAUUAUAGGGAGAGGGGUCUGGCCCAGUGGAACGAAUGGGAGGCAAAAAUGUUCAUGGAGGGGUGUGUGGGGGGGGGGGUCCAAAUAUUCCUUUAACUGAUCAAAUAGGAGAUAGCUAAUUUUUUAGCCUAACUGAUCCAAACAAGGGAACAUGAGAAUUGAUUGAUAAAUUCUUGGAAUCGGCCACAUGAUACCCGUCAAUUUCUCAACCAAAGAUCAUUUCUCAAUCAGAAAACCAAAGCUUGUCUACUACUCCAUCCGUUUCAAAAUGCAUGUAGUUUUGAAUUUUCUAUACAGAUAGGUCCUGCUAUGCACCUAAAUAUAGAGUUAUACCUAGAUAAAUAACAUCUAUAGCCUUAACCAGAGCUUGGAGACCCCUUGCAACUGUAGCAGCCGCCAUGGGAGUUGGAUGUGUUGUCUAGGGUUUCACUACGACACUACCUGGAAGGCUUAUUAUAGAGAGAUGUUGUAGGGAGAAGGUUGGCCAAUUGGAACGAAUGAGGCUGUAGAGGCUUAUUAUAGGGAGAGGGGUCUGGCCCAGUGGAACGAAUGGGAGGGAAAAAUGUUCAUGGAGGGGUGUGUGUGGGGGGGGGUCCAAAUAUUCCUUUAACUGAUCAAAUAGGAGAUAGCUAAUUUUUUUAGCCUAACUGAUCCAAACAAGGGAACAUGAGAAUUGAUUGAUAAAUUCUUGGAAUCGGCCACAUGAUACCCGUCAAUUUCUCAACCAAAGAUCAUUUCUCAAUCAGAAAACCAAAGCUUGUCUACUACUCCAUCCGUUUCAAAAUGCAAGUAGUUUUGAAUUUUCUAUACAGAUAGGUCCUGCUAUGCACCUAAAUAUAGAGUUAUACCUAGAUAAAUAACAUCUAUAGCCUUUACCAGAGCUUGGAGACCCCUUGCAACUGUAGCAGCCGCCAUGGGAGUUGGAGGUGUUGUCUAGGGUUUCACUACGACACUACCUGGAAGGCUUAUUAUAGGGAGAAGUUGUAGGGAGAAGUUGGGCCGAGUGGAACGAAUGAGGCUGUAGAGGCUUAUUAUAGGGAGAGGGGUCUGGCCCAGUGGAACUGAAUGGGAGGCAAAAAUGUUCAUGGAGGGGUGUGUGGGGGGGGGUCCAAAUAUUUCUUUAACUGAUCAAAUAGGAGAUAGCUAAUUUUUUUAGCCUAACUGAUCCAAACAAGGGAACAUGAGAAUUGAUUGAUAAAUUCUUGGAAUCGGCCACAUGAUACCCGUCAAUUUCUCAACCAAAGAUCAUUUCUCAAUCAGAAAACCAAAGCUUGUCUACUACUCCAUCCGUUUCAAAAUGCAAGUAGUUUUGAAUUUUCUAUACAGAUAGGUCCUGCUAUGCACCUAAAUAUAGAGUUAUACCUAGAUAAAUAACAUCUAUAGGCCUUGACCAGAGCUUGGAGACCCCUUGCAACUGUAGCAGCCGCCAUGGGAGUUGGAGGUGUUGUCUAGGGUUUCACUACGACACUACCUGGAAGGCUUAUUAUAGGGAGAAGUUGUAGGGAGAAGUUGGGCCGAGUGGAACGAAUGAGGCUGUAGAGGCUUAUUAUAGGGAGAGGGGUCUGGCCCAGUGGAACGAAUGGGAGGGAAAAAUGUUCAUGGAGGGGUGUGUGGGGGGGGGGGUCCAAAUAUUCCUUUAACUGAUCAAAUAGGAGAUAGCUAAUUUUUUAGCCUAACUGAUCCAAACAAGGGAACAUGAGAAUUGAUUGAUAAAUUCUUGGAAUCGGCCACAUGAUACCCGUCAAUUUCUCAACCAAAGAUCAUUUCUCAAUCAGAAAACCAAAGCUUGUCUACUACUCCAUCCGUUUCAAAAUGCAUGUAGUUUUGAAUUUUCUAUACAGAUAGGUCCUGCUAUGCACCUAAAUAUAGAGUUAUACCUAGAUAAAUAACAUCUAUAGCCUUGACCAGAGCUUGGAGACCCCUUGCAAACUGUAGCAGCCGCCAUGGGAGUUGGAGGUGUUGUCUAGGGUUUCACUACGACACUACCUGGAAGGCUUAUUAUAGGGAGAAGUUGUAGGGAGAAGUUGGGCCGAGUGGAACGAAUGAGGCUGUAGAGGCUUAUUAUAGGGAGAGGGGUCUGGCCCAGUGGAACGAAUGGGAGGGAAAAAUGUUCAUGGAGGGGUGGGUGUGGGGGGGGGUCCAAAUAUUCCUUUAACUGAUCAAAUAGGAUAUAGCUAAUUUUUUUAGCCUAACUGAUCCAAACAAGGGAACAUGAGAAUUGAUUGAUAAAUUCUUGGAAUCGGCCACAUGAUACCCGUCAAUUUCUCAACCAAAGAUCAUUUCUCAAUCAGAAAACCAAAGCUUGUCUACUACUCCAUCCGUUUCAAAAUGCAAGUAGUUUUGAAUUUUCUAUACAGAUAGGUCCUGCUAUGCACCUAAAUAUAGAGUUAUACCUAGAUAAAUAACAUCUAUAGCCUUGACCAGAGCUUGGAGACCCCUUGCAACUGUAGCAGCCGCCAUGGGAGUUGGAGGUGUUGUCUAGGGUUUCACUACGACACUACCUGGAAGGCUUAUUAUAGGAGAAGUUGUAGGGAGAAGUUGGCCUGAGUGGAACGAAUGAGGCUGUAGAGGCUUAUUAUAGGGAGAGGGGUCUGGCCCAGUGGAACGAAUGGGAGGCAAAAAUGUUCAUGGAGGGGUGUGUGUGGGGGGGGGGUCCAAAUAUUCCUUUAACUGAUCAAAUAGGAGAUAGCUAAUUUUUUAGCCUAACUGAUCCAAACAAGGGAACAUGAGAAUUGAUUGAUAAAUUCUUGGAAUCGGCCACAUGAUACCCGUCAAUUUCUCAACCAAAGAUCAUUUCUCAAUCAGAAAACCAAAGCUUGUCUACUACUCUAUCCGUUUCAAAAUGCAAGUAGUUUUGAAUUUUCUAUACAGAUAGGUCCUGCUAUGCACCUAAAUAUAGAGGUAUACCUAGAUAAAUAACAUCUAUAGCCUUAACCAGAGCUUGGAGACCCCUUGCAACUGUAGCAGCCGCCAUGGGAGUUGGAUGUGUUGUCUAGGGUUUCACUACGACACUACCUGGAAGGCUUAUUAUAGAGAGAUGUUGUAGGGAGAAGGUUGGCCAAUUGGAACGAAUGAGGCUGUAGAGGCUUAUUAUAGGGAGAGGGGUCUGGCCCAGUGGAACGAAUGGGAGGGAAAAAUGUUCAUGGAGGGGUGUGUGUGGGGGGGGGUCCAAAUAUUCCUUUAACUGAUCAAAUAGGAGAUAGCUAAUUUUUUUAGCCUAACUAAUCCAAACAAGGGAACAUGAGAAUUGAUUGAUAAAUUCUUGGAAUCGGCCACAUGAUACCCGUCAAUUUCUCAACCAAAGAUCAUUUCUCAAUCAGAAAACCAAAGCUUGUCUACUACUCCAUCCGUUUCAAAAUGCAUGUAGUUUUGAAUUUUCUAUACAGAUAGGUCCUGCUAUGCACCUAAAUAUAGAGUUAUACCUAGAUAAAUAACAUCUAUAGCCUUAACCAGAGCUUGGAGACCCCUUGCAACUGUAGCAGCCGCCAUGGGAGUUGGAUGUGUUGUCUAGGGUUUCACUACGACAGUACCUGGAAGGCUUAUUAUAGAGAGAUGUUGUAGGGAGAAGGUUGGCCAAUUGGAACGAAUGAGGCUGUAGAGGCUUAUUAUAGGGAGAGGGGUCUGGCCCAGUGGAACGAAUGGGAGGGAAAAAUGUUCAUGGAGGGGUGUGUGUGGGGGGGGGUCCAAAUAUUCCUUUAACUGAUCAAAUAGGAGAUAGCUAAUUUUUUUAGCCUAACUGAUCCAAACAAGGGAACAUGAGAAUUGAUUGAUAAAUUCUUGGAAUCGGCCACAUGAUACCCGUCAAUUUCUCAACCAAAGAUCAUUUCUCAAUCAGAAAACCAAAGCUUGUCUACUACUCCAUCCGUUUCAAAAUGCAAGUAGUUUUGAAUUUUCUAUACAGAUAGGUCCUGCUAUGCACCUAAAUAUAGAGUUAUACCUAGAUAAAUAACAUCUAUAGCCUUGACCAGAGCUUGGAGACCCCUUGCAACUGUAGCAGCCGCCAUGGGAGUUGGAGGUGUUGUCUAGGGUUUCACUACGACACUACCUGGAAGGCUUAUUAUAGGGAGAAGUUGUAGGGAGAAGUUGGGCCGAGUGGAACGAAUGAGGCUUUAGAGGCUUAUUAUAGGGAGAGGGGUCUGGCCCAGUGGAACGAAUGGGAGAAAAAAUGUUCAUGGAGGGGUGUGUGGGGGGGGGGGGUCCAAAUAUUCCUUUAACUGAUCAAAUAGGAGAUAGCUAAUUUUUUAGCCUAACUGAUCCAAACAAGGGAACAUGAGAAUUGAUUGAUAAAUUCUUGGAAUCGGCCACAUGAUACCCGUCAAUUUCUCAACCAAAGAUCAUUUCUCAAUCAGAAAACCAAAGCUUGUCUACUACUCCAUCCGUUUCAAAAUGCAUGUAGUUUUGAAUUUUCUAUACAGAUAGGUCCUGCUAUGCACCUAAAUAUAGAGUUAUACCUAGAUAAAUAACAUCUAUAGCCUUAACCAGAGCUUGGAGACCCCUUGCAACUGUAGCAGCCGCCAUGGGAGUUGGAUGUGUUGUCUAGGGUUUCACUACGACACUACCUGGAAGGCUUAUUAUAGAGAGAUGUUGUAGGGAGAAGGUUGACCAAUUGGAACGAAUGAGGCUGUAGAGGCUUAUUAUAGGGAGAGGGGUCUGGCCCAGUGGAACGAAUGGGAGGGAAAAAUGUUCAUGGAGGGGUGUGUGUGGGGGGGGGGUCCAAAUAUUCCUUUAACUGAUCAAAUAGGAGAUAGCUAAUUUUUUUAGCCUAACUGAUCCAAACAAGGGAACAUGAGAAUUGAUUGAUAAAUUCUUGGAAUCGGCCACAUGAUACCCGUCAAUUUCUCAACCAAAGAUCAUUUCUCAAUCAGAAAACCAAAGCUUGUCUACUACUCCAUCCGUUUCAAAAUGCAAGUAGUUUUGAAUUUUCUAUACAGAUAGGUCCUGCUAUGCACCUAAAUAUAGAGUUAUACCUAGAUAAAUAACAUCUAUAGCCUUGACCAGAGCUUGGAGACCCCUUGCAACUGUAGCAGCCGCCAUGGGAGUUGGAGGUGUUGUCUAGGGUUUCACUACGACACUACCUGGAAGGCUUAUUAUAGGGAGAAGUUGUAGGGAGAAGUUGGGCCGAGUGGAACGAAUGAGGCUUUAGAGGCUUAUUAUAGGGAGAGGGGUCUGGCCCAGUGGAACGAAUGGGAGGCAAAAAUGUUCAUGGAGGGGUGUGUGGGGGGGGGGUCCAAAUAUUCCUUUAACUGAUCAAAUAGGAGAUAGCUAAUUUUUUAGCCUAACUGAUCCAAACAAGGGAACAUGAGAAUUGAUUGAUAAAUUCUUGGAAUCGGCCACAUGAUACCCGUCAAUUUCUCAACCAAAGAUCAUUUCUCAAUCAGAAAACCAAAGCUUGUCUACUACUCCAUCCGUUUCAAAAUGCAUGUAGUUUUGAAUUUUCUAUACAGAUAGGUCCUGCUAUGCACCUAAAUAUAGAGUUAUACCUAGAUAAAUAACAUCUAUAGCCUUAACCAGAGCUUGGAGACCCCUUGCAACUGUAGCAGCCGCCAUGGGAGUUGGAUGUGUUGUCUAGGGUUUCACUACGACACUACCUGGAAGGCUUAUUAUAGAGAGAUGUUGUAGGGAGAAGGUUGGCCAAUUGGAACGAAUGAGGCUGUAGAGGCUUAUUAUAGGGAGAGGGGUCUGGCCCAGUGGAACGAAUGGGAGGGAAAAAUGUUCAUGGAGGGGUGUGUGUGGGGGGGGGUCCAAAUAUUCCUUUAACUGAUCAAAUAGGAGAUAGCUAAUUUUUUUAGCCUAACUGAUCCAAACAAGGGAACAUGAGAAUUGAUUGAUAAAUUCUUGGAAUCGGCCACAUGAUACCCGUCAAUUUCUCAACCAAAGAUCAUUUCUCAAUCAGAAAACCAAAGCUUGUCUACUACUCCAUCCGUUUCAAAAUGCAAGUAGUUUUGAAUUUUCUAUACAUAUAGGUCCUGCUAUGCACCUAAAUAUAGAGUUAUACCUAGAUAAAUAACAUCUAUAGCCUUGACCAGAGCUUGGAGACCCCUUGCAACUGUAGCAGCCGCCAUGGGAGUUGGAGGUGUUGUCUAGGGUUUCACUACGACACUACGUGGAAGGCUUAUUAUAGGGAGAAGUUGUAGGGAGAAGUUGGGCCGAGUGGAACGAAUGAGGCUGUAGAGGCUUAUUAUAGGGAGAGGGGUCUGGCCCAGUGGAAUGAAUGGGAGGCAAAAAUGUUCAUGGAGGGGUGUGUGGGGGGGGUCCAAAUAUUUCUUUAACUGAUCAAAUAGGAGAUAGCUAAUUUUUUUAGCCUAACUGAUCCAAACAAGGGAACAUGAGAAUUGAUUGAUAAAUUCUUGGAAUCGGCCACAUGAUACCCGUCAAUUUCUCAACCAAAGAUCAUUUCUCAAUCAGAAAACCAAAGCUUGUCUACUACUCCAUCCGUUUCAAAAUGCAAGUAGUUUUGAAUUUUCUAUACAGAUAGGUCCUGCUAUGCACCUAAAUAUAGAGUUAUACCUAGAUAAAUAACAUCUAUAGGCUUGACCAGAGCUUGGAGACCCCUUGCAACUGUAGCAGCCGCCAUGGGAGUUGGAGGUGUUGUCUAGGGUUUCACUACGACACUACCUGGAAGGCUUAUUAUAGGGAGAAGUUGUAGGGAGAAGUUGGGCCGAGUGGAACGAAUGAGGCUGUAGAGGCUUAUUAUAGGGAGAGGGGUCUGGCCCAGUGGAACGAAUGGGAGGGAAAAAUGUUCAUGGAGGGGUGUGGGGGGGGGGGGUCCAAAUAUUCCUUUAACUGAUCAAAUAGGAGAUAGCUAAUUUUUUAGCCUAACUGAUCCAAACAAGGGAACAUGAGAAUUGAUUGAUAAAUUCUUGGAAUCGGCCACAUGAUACCCGUCAAUUUCUCAACCAAAGAUCAUUUCUCAAUCAGAAAACCAAAGCUUGUCUACUACUCCAUCCGUUUCAAAAUGCAUGUAGUUUUGAAUUUUCUAUAUAGAUAGGUCCUGCUAUGCACCAAAAUAUAGAGUUAUACCUAGAUAAAUAACAUCUAUAGCCUUGACCAGAGCUUGGAGACCCCUUGCAAACUGUAGCAGCCGCCAUGGGAGUUGGAGGUGUUGUCUAGGGUUUCACUACGACACUACCUGGAAGGCUUAUUAUAGGGAGAAGUUGUAGGGAGAAGUUGGGCCGAGUGGAACGAAUGAGGCUGUAGAGGCUUAUUAUAGGGAGAGGGGUCUGGCCCAGUGGAACGAAUGGGAGGGAAAAAUGUUCAUGGAGGGGUGGGUGUGGGGGGGGGUCCAAAUAUUCCUUUAACUGAUCAAAUAGGAUAUAGCUAAUUUUUUUAGCCUAACUGAUCCAAACAAGGGAACCUGAGAAUUGAUUGAUAAAUUCUUGGAAUCGGCCACAUGAUACCUGUCAAUUUCUCAACCAAAGAUCAUUUCUCAAUCAGAAAACCAAAGCUUGUCUACUACUCCAUCCGUUUCAAAAUGCAAGUAGUUUUGAAUUUUCUAUGCAGAUAGGUCCUGCUAUGCACCUAAAUAUAGAGUUAUACCUAGAUAAAUAACAUCUAUAGCCUUGACCAGAGCUUGGAGACCCCUUGCAACUAUAGCAGCCGCCAUGGGAGUUGGAGGUGUUGUCUAGGGUUUCACUACGACACUACCUGGAAGGCUUAUUAUAGGGAGAAGUUGUAGGGAGAAGUUGGGCCGAGUGGAACGAAUGAGGCUGUAGAGGCUUAUUAUAGGGAGAGGGGUCUGGCCCAGUGGAACGAAUGGGAGGGAAAAAUGUUCAUGGAGGGGUGUGUGGGGGUCCAAAUAUUCCUUUAACUGAUCAAAUAGGAGAUAGCUAGUUUUUUUAGCCUAACUGAUCCAAACAAGGGAACAUGAGAAUUGAUUGAUAAAUUCUUGGAAUCGGCCACAUGAUACCCGUCAAUUUCUCAACCAAAGAUCAUUUCUCAAUCAGAAAAUCAAAGUUUGUCUACUACUCCAUCCGCUUCAAAAUGCAAGUAGUUUUGAAUUUUCUAUACAGAUAGGUCCUGCUAUGCAUCUAAAUAUAGAGUUAAGCCUAAUUAGUCUGUAAUU